rnacentral:rRNA from 1 species
GGGUCAGGAGGUUGGUCGUGCCACCGGUACGUACUGGUCUCACUGAUCCCUCCUUCCUGAAGAACCGUAAUGCCAUUAAUUUGGUGUUGCGGGGAAACAGGACUGUUACUUUGAAAAAAUUAGAGUGUUUAAAGCAAGCUAACGCUUGAAUACAUUAGCAUGGAAUAAUGAAAUAGGACGAUCGAUCCUAUUUUGAUGGUUUCUAGGAUUGACGUA